rnacentral:lncRNA from 1 species
AUUCGAUCCGAGAUGGGUAUGGACGGGUACUGAUAUGAAUUUUUUACUAAGGAGAUGGGUAUGGAUAUUGAUCGAUCCGAUCCAUACCCAAUCUGUUGCCACCCCUAUCUAAAAGGAAAGUGAUCCAUGCACCAAUCUCAUCAAAUCCAUCACUAUUCCUAUGAUGAUCCAUUGAUCGGGAGUAUUUAGGAAUUAAUCACCAAUAACAUAUGUGUCAAAUUAUCAAUUUUUGAGAAUAUAU